rnacentral:rRNA from 1 species
GGCCUCCCGCCUCCGG